GCCGGGCGCGGUGGCUCACGCCUGUAAUCCCAACACUUUGGGAGGCUGAGGUGGGUGGAUCACCUGAGGUCAGGAGUUCGAGACCAGCCUGGCCAACAUGGUGAAACCCCAUCUCUA
rnacentral:SRP_RNA from 1 species